rnacentral:rRNA from 1 species
UACGAAGGGGGCUAGCGUUGCUCGGAAUCACUGGGCGUAAAGGGUGCGUAGGCGGUCGUGCAAGUCGGAUGUGAAAUCUCAGGGCUCAACCCUGAAACUGCAUUCGAUACUGCGCGGCUAGAGUGCUGGAGGGGAGACUGGAAUUUACGGUGUAGCAGUGAAAUGCGUAGAUAUCGUAAGGAAGACCAGUGGCGAAGGCGAGUCUCUGGACAGCAACUGACGCUGAGGCACGAAGGCCAGGGGAGCAAACGGG